UUAUCCGGCUCCUGAGGCUGAGGAAGGUACCCCCAGGCGCAGGCACACAGUACAGUGGGGUCAAGCAUCUAGCUGACCUAAUUAAAAGCUCAUUACAGCAGCCCAUCCCCAUUAACAGGCUGACCCACGUGCAAAUCUAUUAACACAGGAGUCUUCUCUGCUUCCCAAACCAGGAAUCCCAGCCGCAGCCCCGGGGCCUGGAAACUCCGGCCAGUUUAUUAAAGUGCCUUCCCCGCCUGUGACCAUCAGGCAAAGGGAGAAUCUUACCGGGAAUCUCACUUCUAGCCAAUGAGGAAUUUUCAGAAAAGCGAAAUGGAAGGAAUCAUUUUGUCAUCUCUGCAAAUCUGUAUUCUGAAAGGUACUCAGAUAUCCACGAAGUCCUCCUCAUCUCGCACUAUCAUUUCUCUCACUGGGCACAAUCCAGCUUUAAAGAAUUCAACACUUACUGGUCUUCAGAGGACUGUCAGCAAUGACAGCAACCAGGGAUGCUGACAUGUCUUGUUGUUUACAAAGGAUGAGCACAAGGCCUUUUGGAUGAUUUGAUAAGCUCUGCAACUCCUCUCUCACUGUUUCUCACCUCUCUGGACCAACUGCCUUUGUGUGGUGGUGAAACUGAGAUUUCCAGAUCCAUGCAGCUUUAUGGAAUAUAUUAUGGAUGAAAUAUGAACCCAGGUCUAUGUGCUUCCAGGUAAGUUUUCCAUUUUGCCACACUCUGCUGUGAGCUUAGUCUGAAGGUGGAGUUUUAACUGGGACACUGAGGACAGAAGGGCCCGUUAAUUGAGACUUUGAACGUGAGAAACAGUGGAAUGCAAAAUAGCAUGCUCACAGCUGUUUUCAAGCAAUAGCACUGUCUA